UACGUAGGGUGCGAGCGUUGUCCGGAAUUAUUGGGCGUAAAGAGCUCGUAGGCGGUGUGUCACGUCGAAUCGUGAAACUUACAGCUUAACUGUGAGCGUGCGGUCGAUACGGGCAUCACUGGAGUUCGGCAGGGGAGACUGGAAUUCCUGGUGUAGCGGUGAAAUGCGCAGAUAUCAGGAGGAACACCGGUGGCGAAGGCGGGUCUCUGGGCCGAUAUUGACGCUGAGGCGCGAAAGCGUGGGGAGCAAACGGG
rnacentral:rRNA from 1 species